rnacentral:rRNA from 1 species
CCUACGGGUGGCUGCAGUGGGGAAUAUUGCACAAUGGGCGAAAGCCUGAUGCAGCAACGCCGCGUGAGCGAUGAAGGCCUUCGGGUCGUAAAGCUCUGUCCUCAAGGAAGAUAAUGACGGUACUUGAGGAUGAAGCCCCGGCUAACUACGUGCCAGCAGCCGCGGUAAUACGUAGGGGGCUAGCGUUAUCCGGAAGUACUGGGCGUAAAGGGUGCGUAGGUGGUUUCUUAAGUCAGAGGUGAAAGGCUACGGCUAAACCGUAGUAAGCCUUUGAAACUGGGAAACUUGAGUGCAGGAGAGGAAGGUGGAAUUCGUAGUGUAGCGGUGAAAUGCGUAGAUAUUAGGAGGAACACCAGUUGCGAAGGCAGCUCUCUGGACUGUAACUGACACUGAUGCUCGAAAGUGUGGGUAUCAAACAGGAUUAGAUACCCCAGUAGUC